rnacentral:rRNA from 1 species
UACGUAGGUGGCAAGCGUUGUCCGGAUUUAUUGGGUUUAAAGGGUGCGUAGGCGGCUUUGUAAGUCAGUGGUGAAAUAUGGCAGCUUAACUGUCAGGGUGCCAAUGAUACUGCGGAGCUUGAGUACAGAUGAGGUAGGCGGAAUUGACGGUGUAGCGGUGAAAUGCUUAGAUAUCGUCAAGAACACCUAUAGCGAAGGCAGCUCACUAGGCUGUAACUGACGCUGAGGCACGAAAGUGUGGGGAUCAAACAGG